UACGUAGGGUGCAAGCGUUAAUCGGAAUUACUGGGCGUAAAGCGUGCGCAGGCGGUUAUGUAAGACAGGUGUGAAAUCCCCGGGCUUAACCUGGGAACUGCAUUUGUGACUGCAUAGCUAGAGUACGGUAGAGGGGGAUGGAAUUCCGCGUGUAGCAGUGAAAUGCGUAGAUAUGCGGAGGAACACCGGUGGCGAAGGCGGAUCUCUGGGCCUGUUCUGACGCUGAGGCGCGAAAGCUAGGGGAGCGAACAGG
rnacentral:rRNA from 1 species